GGAGUGGGCCGGGUGGCCGCUCGCAGGAUUCUCCUGCGAGAGGAAAGUCCGGACUCCAAAGGGCGAGGUGCUGGGUAACGCCCAGGCGGAGUAAUCCGACAUGAGCGCCACAGAAAAUAUACCGCCGGAAUGCAUGGGAAACCAUGAGCCGGUAAGGGUGAAAUGGUGGGGUAAGAGCCCACCGCGUCUGUGGUGACACAGAUGGCAGGGUAAGCAUCACCUGGAGCAAAACCAAAUAGGGGAACGCUGCCCGCUUUCCUUGAGGGAAACUUCAAGGCAACGGGAGAGAGGUCGGCCCGGCCGAAGUUCUCGGGUAGGUUGCUUGAAGCCCAAGGUAACUUGGGUUCUAGAGAAAUGGUCAUCGCCCGCUUGGAGACAUCCUGGCGGGUACAGAAUCCGGCUUACAGGCUCGCUCGCCAC
rnacentral:RNase_P_RNA from 2 species